UACGUAGGGGGCAAGCGUUGUCCGGAUUUAUUGGGCGUAAAGAGCGUGUAGGCGGUUUGGUAGGUCCGUUGUGAAAACUCGAGGCUCAACCUCGAGACGCCGGCGGAAACCAUCAGGCUAGAGUCCGGAAGAGGAGAGUGGAAUUCCUGGUGUAGCGGUGAAAUGCGCAGAUAUCGGGAGGAACACCUGUGGCGAAAGCGGCUCACUGGAUCACAACUGACGCUGAGGCGCGAAGCUAGGGGAGCAAACAGGA
rnacentral:rRNA from 1 species